GGGCCCGUAGCUCAGCUGGUCAGAGCAGCCGACUCAUAAUCGGUUGGUCCCUGGUUCGAGUCCAGGCGGGCCCACAA
rnacentral:tRNA from 1 species